AAAGCUAGCAACAAACAAGACCUGAACUCGGGCCUUCUGACCCCAAGUCCAAAACUCUUUCUUUACACUACCAUUAUCCUGCCUCUCCAAGAAUGAUAACAUUUUCCUCUCUAAGAGGCUCAGGUUGUCUGCUGACAAACACCUCCUGUCUAAGAUGAAGACUUAAGUACUUCCAGCUGCUCCAAGUUCCUGAGUCUGAAUUUAGAACAACCACUACUACUGCUCAGGAUCCCUUUCUUCUGGGACUUGAAGAAUGCACAAGAGGUCACCUAGAGUCCUCUAAUCUCACUGGAGAUAUGCUGUACCUAUAGCUGGAACACAGGACAAAGUCAAGGAUGUCCAUCAAAUGGGGAAUGGCUCAACAAGCUGUGGUAC